UACGGAGGGGACUAGCGUUGUUCGGAAUUACUGGGCGUAAAGCGCACGUAGGCGGAUUUGUAAGUCAGGGGUGAAAGCCCGGGGCUCAACCCCGGAACUGCCUUUGAAACUAGGUGACUAGAAUCUUGGAGAGGUCAGUGGAAUUCCGAGUGUAGAGGUGAAAUUCGUAGAUAUUCGGAAGAACACCAGUGGCGAAGGCGACUGACUGGACAAGUAUUGACGCUGAGGUGCGAAAGCGUGGGGAGCAAACAGG
rnacentral:rRNA from 1 species